GUGCUGAAUCAUUCGCCAAUGCGCGAAAGCGUGACGGUGCGACGCCGCGUGGAGGAUGAAGGCCUUCGGGUUGUAAACUCCUGUCAGGGGGUAGAAAACCGCAGCUGUGAAUAGCGGCUGCGCUGAUCCCCCCCAGAGGAAGCACAGGCUAACCUCGUGCCAGCAGCCGCGGUAAGACGAGGUGUGCAAGCGUUGCUCGGAAUCACUGGGCAUAAAGGGUGCGUAGGCGGUGCGGUCAGUCCGAUGUGAAAUCCCCGGGCUUAACCUGGGAACUGCGUUUGAAACUACAGAGCUAGAGUGUGGCAGAGGGGGGUGGAAUUCCAUGUGUAGCAGUGAAAUGCGUAGAGAUAUGGAAGAACAUCGAUGGCGAAGGCAGCCCCCUGGGUCAACACUGACGCUCAUGCACGAAAGCGUGGGGAGCAAACAGGAUUAGAUACCCGAGUAGUCC
rnacentral:rRNA from 1 species